ACUUUGCCAUUGGUCCCAGUGUUUGGUGAUUUAUCGGCUCGCUUGGCACAACAUUCUUGGAGGUCUCAGCGAGCUCACCAUCACUCAGUGACUUCUGUCCAGUGGACAGCCCCUGUCUUAGGCCGGUCCGGCCUGAGAGAGGCCUUGGGAGGUCACCUUGACCAUUUGAUCAGGGCCCUGGGGGCUCGGGUCUCAAGCGGAGGAUUCAGGUCAUUCCAGCCAUGCUGAGAGGAGUUUAUCUGGAAAACCUCAGGCGGUCAGAAAGCAGAUGAAUACAGCAUCAAAUUCUCAAAGGGAAGACUCCGGGCCCUAUGUCAACUAGAGUGGCCAUCAUUUGGGAUGGAAUGGCUGAGUGUGGGAAGUUUUGAUAUUCAGACUACUCAACAGGUUUGGAACAGGGUCACAGAAAAGGGAGGGUCUCGUCGUCCCAACCAGUUUCCCUAUAUUGAUGUGUGGAUGGACCUCAUAGAGGACCCUCCUCCCUCCCUUGAUUGCCCAGGAUUGAGACACAGGAGGUUUGUGGGAGAUAAGAUUCACAACAGAUGAGGACAAUCAGUAGUUCUUGUCACCAUGCCCCUCCCAAAGUGCAAGGGUUUUCAGGCCCCGUGGGAUGAGGAUGACUUCCGGUCUCGUCUGCCCCUUAUCAGGCUCAUGGGGAAGGGCCUAAAAAAGACCCCAACUCUCCCUCUGAUUCUGCCCCCUGUGAUUCCUCUGUCCCCUCUGUGCCACCUGACUCCCUAUCCCCUCCUCAUACCCAGUCAGGACAGUCCUAUGAGUCUCAAGGGGCAACCAGCCAGGUAACGUCCUCUGUCCUUCCUUUGAAACAGAUUGAACCAGGUGGAGGAUUUGUCUAUGCUCCUUUCACUACUAGUGACCUUUAUAAUUGGAAAAAUCAAGUUGCUCCUUUUUCAGAAAAAUUCCAGGCUUUAAUUAAUCUUCUGGAGUCUGUCUUCCAUACUCAUCACCCCACCUGGGAUGACUGUCAACAACUUCUCCAGACCCUCUUCAACACGGAGGAAUGGGACCAAAUUUUUCAGGAGGCCAUCAAGGCAGCCCUAGGUCCCAACCUCGAUCCUGGCCCCGGUACUCCAGCUUAUCUGCAGAGAGCAGAGGCUGAAGUGCCAACCCAAUGACCGGAUUGGGACCCCAACACCAAUGCAGGUAGGAGAGACCUGGCCAGUUACCGCCAGCACCUUUUGCAGGGACUCUGCCAAGUGGCUAGGAAGCCAACUAAUCUGACUAAGGUAAGUGAGGUAAAACAGAAUAAGACAGAGUCCCCGUGGCUUUCCUGGAACACCUCCUAGAGACGUGUUGGGUCUAUACACCCAUUAAUCCUGAUGCUCCAGAAAACGCAGCCAUGAUAAAUCUGGCUUUUGUGUCACAGUCGGCCCCAGAUAUUAGAAAAAAAACUUCAGAGAUUGGAAGAGUUUGAGGGAAAAAACAGGUCUGGGCUCCUGAGUAUAGCACAAAAGGUUUUUGAGAACCAGGAUUCCCCGGAAGAGACAAUUGCCAAGCAGCUAGAAAAAGUUACUAUUGCCACCCACAAUGACAUAAGUAAGCAGACCGGGAGACCUAAGCCAGAGAGACCCCCAUGGCCUAAGCUUGGAAGGGACCAAUGUGCCUAUUGCAAACAGACUGGACAUUGGAAAAAUGAGUGUCCCCUCAAGAAAAAAAAAAAAUAGGGACAGGACCAGAAAAAGACACAGGAAGUCCUGACCUUUGACGAUAUGAAAUAGGAAAGUCAGGGCUCAUUCAAACUGAGCCCCUGUGAGCCCAUGAUAAAAUUAAAAAUCGGGGGCACACUGACUAAUUUCCUGGUAGAUACUGGGGCGGCUCAUUCGAUACUGACUAAACCUUUGGGAAAAUUGACAACAUGAGAGACUUUGGUACAGGGGGCUACCGGCAAGGGAGCUCAAGGUUAUAAAUGGACAACUGCAUGAAUGGUAGACUUGGGUCACAGGCAAGUGACCCACUCCUUUCUGGUGAUUCCAGAGUGUCCAUACUCCUUGCUUGGCAGGGACCUGCUAAGGAAAUUUGGUGCAACAAUUACCUUUACAGAGGAAAAGGCAGACUUAAAACUAGGCAUCCCACAGGGGACUGUCAAAGUUAUGGUGACUUGCCCAUUGGCCUCCAAAUACCUGAUGCUCUCGCAGCCAGAGGACAAGUUAGCUGGGCUGAUUGGAAACCUACAAAUGGAGUUUCCACUUGUGUGGGCUGAGACUAAUCCCCCUGCAUUAGCUGGCCAUCAAGUUCCAAUAGUGGUAAAUCUAAAGUCCAAUGCCCAGCCUGUUUCUGUCCGGCAGUAUCCUAUCAGAAAGGAGGCAAGAAAAAAGAUUUGGACACACAUCAACUGACUCCUAGAUGCUGGAAUCUUAAAGCUGUGUCAAUCACCUUGGAACAUCCCACUCCUGCCUGUCCAAAAGCCCAGUACUUCCGACUACAGGCCUGUCCAAGAGCUCUGAGAGUGACAAGUCUACACUGUGCUGGACCUCAAAGAUGCCUUCUUCAGUCUGCCAUUGGCCAAGGUGAGUCAGCCCCUUUUUGCCUUCGAAUGGGUGGAUCCCAAAGGAGGGUACUGGGGACAGCUGACCCUGAUGAGAUUGCCACAAGGGUUCAAAAAUGCUCCCACCCUGUUUGAUGAGGCUCUAAAUAAAGACUUGGCUCUGUUCAGAGCAUCUCAUCCCAAAGUGACCCUUCUCCAGUAUGUAGAUGACCUCCUAGUAGUGGCUGAUGACCAGGACACCUGUAUGGCAGGUACUAAGGACUUGUUGGGAUUGUUACAAAAAUUGGGAUAUAGAGUGUCAGCCAAAAAGGCCCAGAUCUGUGCCUCCUGGAUCACUUACCUUGGGUAUGAGAUUGACAAAGACAUCCGACGACUGUCUCAGAGAUGGAAACAAGCUAUAUUACAGAUCCCAACACCCACCACAAAGAAACAGGUGUGAGAGUUUUUGGGAACUGUUGGUUACUGCCGACUCUGGAUUAUAGGAUUUGCAGAGAUCGAAAGGCCCCUAUAUCCAGCCACAGCCAGAGGAAACACACCCUUAGUGUGGGCAGAGACCAAACAGAGGGCGUUUGAGACCAUGAAACAAGCCCUUGUUCAGGCACCAGCUUUGGCCCUCCCAGACAUUGGAAAACCUUUCCAAUUGUUUGUGGCUGAGAAAAAUGGAGUGGCAAAAGGGGUCCUUACUCAAACCUUAGGACCUUGGAAAAGACCUGUGGCAUACUUAUCCAAAAGACUUGAUCCUGUGGCCUCUGGCUGGCCACCUUGCCUCAGAGACAUCGUGGCAACAGCCCUCCUCAUAAAGUAGACAGACAAGCUAAGGUUGGGUCAGGGGCUCAUGAUCAGUGUGCCACAUGCAGUCUCCUCCAUGUUGCAAGGAGGCUCUGAGUGAUGGAUGUCAAAUGCCAGACUGACUCAAUAUCAGGUGCUCCUGAUUGACCAGCCCCAGAUCAAGUUCACAGAGGCCACUACCUUAAACCCCGCGACACUGUUGCCUGCCUCAGACCUGAUGACCCCUCUACAUGACUGCCAGGAGACCCUCCAGGACAUAACCGCAACCAGACCUGAUCUGCAGGAUGUGCCCCUAAAAGACCCUGAGGAGAUGUUCUUCACGGAUGGGAACAGCUUCAUUGAGCAAGGAGUCAGCCCUCCAGCCUGGAGAUCUGAUACUGGUAAAGAGACAUUCAUCUAAGGCUUUGGAGCCACAUUGGGAAGGGCCUUUCCAAGUGAUCUUGAUGACACCAUCUGCCGUAAAGGUCACAGAGGAGACACCAUGGAUACAUCACUGCCACAUUAAAGCAGCUCCUGAAGACACCCCGGAGGUCAAAUGGAAGAUCAUCAGUCAACCAGGCGACAAAAAGCUAAGACUGAAAAGGGACAAAUGAUGCUUGCUGUAUUGACCCAUAAUUCAGCAUUUGUCAUGAUCAUUUUUUUAAGUCAUUAUUUUCUGAAACACUGGCAAUAUUACCCAAAAGACAACUGGAUGCUACUGGUAAUGUUUGGAUUCAGCUGGCACAAACACUUAAUCUGUCUGAGUUCUGUUUAAAUAUAGAUGUAAAUUUCCAUUACAUACUAGGGAGUUGUCUCGUCCCUGUGUGUACUCCCUUGAGUCUGAUACAGCCUUACACCCUGUUUAAAGACAUCCCAGGAAAAAAUCUUAUGUAUAAAGAUAGUUACAAUUGGGGGACCCCUUCUUAUUUUAAACCAAAAAAUGCUAUUAAGUUAUAUAUACCUUGGGUGAUUAUGUUAAAUCAUACACAAUGUGCUUUAUAUAAAAAUUGUACUACAAGAUGUCUAAAAUUAAAAAGAUCAGAAAAAAUUGACUUGUUAUAAAAAACAAAAGAUCAUAUACAGUGAGGGUUAUAUACCCUUACCAUUAGGAUGGUUUUAUACAUGUAAAGGAGUAAUGUUUAAUUAUAUCCCUGCCUACUUAUCUGAGGUCCAGUGCUGCUUAAGUUGAUUGGCUGUAAUAUUGCCAGAUCAAACUGAUCUGAUAAUGCCCAACAGAGUUAAAUGAUGGUCACCCUAUACUGAACCAGGAUGCGAUGAUGAUGUAGGUCUUUUAACAGAUAUUGAAGUAAUAGCUAUGAUAGCAUCUGUGGUUGCUCUGCCUUCCAUAGGGGUUCAUGCUGAAAAGGCGGUACAAAAAUUGGCAUGUAAGGUGGUCAAAGGUUUAAAUGCUACCUCAUCUGCACUGACAUUAAUUAAUCAGGAAUUACAAAAACACUGACAAGCCAUACUAGACAACAGGGCAGCAAUAGAUUACUUGCUCCUACUCCAUCAUCAAAGAUGUAAAAAAAUAAAAAAUAUGUGUUGUUUAAAUAUGACCGACAACAGCCCAGGGAUACAAAAAAAAAAUAAAACAAUUUAAAAAGUUGGCAGAAAAAGUACAUAAUAAAAACUUAGGAUGGGAUUUGUUCCACUGGUUAACCCAAUGGUUGCCUGACAUACAAUGGUUAAAACAGCUUUUUCUUGUGGUCAUAGUUGUAAUUGUGUGCUUAUUAUCAUGUUGCUGCAUGCUAAAGGUUAUACCCAGGUAUGUGUCCAAACAAAAAGACAAUGUAAAAAUCAUGUUGUUAAGCCAGAUGUAUGAACCAUUGCUUAAAAAAAAAAGAGAGAUUAUGUAAAAAUGAGAUGUAGAGAUAAAAUGAUGAAUCAAAGGUUUGAUUCUGUACAAAAAUCAGUGGGGAUUGUGAGACCAAGAUAAACCCAAGAAAUGUCGCCUCAUGCCCCUCCCCCUAUAAAAUAGAUGUUUUUGUAACUGCUUGUUCUGCUUCUGUAAACUUGCUUCAUCGAUUCUCAGAAAGAGAUAGUGCCUGGUGCCUCCCUUUACUGUAAAUUGCCCCAACCUGACAAGACAACAAGAUAGCUGAGUUGUGAAAAAUACUUUUGCAACUAGUCAAAAACAUGUUAAUCUACCCUUGAAUUUCUCUU